AUGGUGUGCCGGGGGCCGCGCGGGCCGGGAGUUGGGUGGGCUGGGGGACAGGCGCGCCCGCGCCGCCCGCUCCAGCUGGGCUAGUGCUGCACAUUCCGGCCAGCCCCUCCUCAAGACCCCAUUCCCAAGCCCCUUCUCAGCUCCCUCGGGCCGGCAGAGCGGCUCUGAUCAGUAAAAUGCUGUUGAAGGCCCACGGGCAUGACUGCACCCCUCACUAAUUGGUCAUUGGUUUGGGGAGGACACCACUGUCCCAGUGGAACCUUGAGCACACCUUGGAGCCCUCCUCUUCCUCUCCGGACCUGUGCCAAACUGCCAUCCUGCAGCCACCAGAACCUUCCACAUGAAAUGAAAGGCUCACCACUUCAUAGGCUUUAAGGAAAUUCUUGGCCAGGUGUGGUGCCUCACUCAUGUAAUCCCAGUGCUUUAAGAGGCCAAGAUGGGAGGAUUGUUUGAGCCAGCUGUUUGAGACCAGCCUGGGCAACGUCAUGAGACCCCAUCUCCACAAAAAAAAAAAAAAAGAAAAUUGGCUGGGUGCGGUGGCUCAUGUCUGUAAUCCCAGCAAUUUUGGAGGCUGAGGCGGGUGGAUCACUUGAGGUCAGGAGUUUGAGACCAGCCUGGCCAACAUGGUGAAACCCCGUCACUACUAAAAAUACAAAAAUUAGCCAGGCGUGGCGGCAGGUGCCUGUAAUCCCAGCUACUUGCGAGGCUGAGGAAGAAUUGCGUGAACCUAGGAGGUGGAGGUUGCAGUGAGCCAAGAUCAUGCUGCUGCACUCCAGCCUGGGCAACAGAGUGAGACUCCAUCUCAAAAAUAAUAAAAAUAAAUUAAAAAAAUUAAAAAUUACCUGCGUGUGAUGGUGUGCGCCUGUAGUUCCAGCUACUUGGGAGGCUGAAUUGGGAGGAUCAUUUGAGCCCAGGAGGUCAAGGCUGCAGUAAGCAGUGAUGGUGCCACUGCCCUCAGCCUGGGCAACAGAACAACAUGCAAUCUUAAAAAAAAAAAAUCCUGGCCAGGCACAGUGGCUUAUGACUGUAAUCCCAGCACUUUAGGAGACGGAGGCGGGCAGAUCACGAGGUCAGGAGAUUGAGACCAUCCUGGCUAACACGGUGAAACCCCGUCUCUA
rnacentral:lncRNA from 10 species